rnacentral:rRNA from 1 species
GUCCACGCAGUAAACGAUGAUAGCUCGUUGUCGGCGAUACACAGUCGGUGACUAAGAGAAAUCGAUAAGCUAUCCACCUGGGGAGUACGUUCGCAAGAAUGAAACUCAAAGGAAUUGACGGGGGCCCGCACAAGCGGAGGAACAUGUGGUUUAAUUCGAUGAUACGCGAGGAACCUUAUCCGGGCUUGAAAGUUACUGACGAUUCUGGAAACAGGAUUUCCCUUCGGGGCAGGAAACUAGGUGCUGCAUGGUUGUCGU